rnacentral:rRNA from 1 species
GUGUCAGCCGCCGCGGUAAUACGGAGGGUGCAAGCGUUAUCCGGAUUCACUGGGUUUAAAGGGUGCGUAGGCGGGUAGGUAAGUCAGUGGUGAAAUCCCCGAGCUCAACUUGGGAACUGCCGUUGAUACUAUCUAUCUUGAAUGUUGUGGAGGUGAGCGGAAUAUGUCAUGUAGCGGUGAAAUGCUUAGAUAUGACAUAGAACACCAAUUGCGAAGGCAGCUCGCUACACAAUUAUUGACGCUGAGGCACGAAAGCGUGGGGAUCAAACAGGAUUAGAUACCCCUGUAGUCC